GACGAACGCUGGCGGCGUGCUUAACACAUGCAAGUCGAACGGAAAGGCCCUGCUUUUGUGGGGUGCUCGAGUGGCGAACGGGUGAGUAACACGUGAGUAACCUGCCCUUGACUUUGGGAUAACUUCAGGAAACUGGGGCUGAUACCGGAUAGGAGCUCCUGCUGCAUGGUGGGGGUUGGAAAGUUUCGGCGGUUGGGGCUGGACUCGCGGCUUAUCAGCUUGUUGGUGGGGUAGUGGCUUACCAAGGCUUUGACGGGUAGCCGGCCUGAGAGGGUGACCGGCCACAUUGGGACUGAGAUACGGCCCAGACUCCUACGGGAGGCAGCAGUGGGGAAUAUUGCACAAUGGGCGGAAGCCUGAUGCAGCAACGCCGCGUGCGGGAUGACGGCCUUCGGGUUGUAAACCGCUUUCGCCUGUGACGAAGCGUGAGUGACGGUAAUGGGUAAAGAAGCACCGGCUAACUACGUG
rnacentral:rRNA from 1 species